rnacentral:rRNA from 1 species
AUUGAACGCUGGCGGCAGGCCUAACACAUGCAAGUCGAACGGUAGCACAGAGAGCUUGCUCUCGGGUGACGAGUGGCGGACGGGUGAGUAAUGUCUGGGAAACUGCCCGAUGGAGGGGGAUAACUACUGGAAACGGUAGCUAAUACCGCAUAACGGCGCAAGACCAAAGUGGGGGACCUUCGGGCCUCACACCAUCGGAUGUGCCCAGAUGGGAUUAGCUAGUAGGUGGGGUAAUGGCUCACCUAGGCGACGAUCCCUAGCUGGUCUGAGAGUAUGACCAGCCACACUGGAACUGAGACACGGUCCAGACUCCUACGGGAGGCAGCAGUGGGGAAUAUUGCACAAUGGGCGCAAGCCUGAUGCAGCCAUGCCGCGUGUAUGAAGAAGGCCUUCGGGUUGUAAAGUACUUUCAGCGGGGAGGAAGGCGGUGAAGUUAAUAACUUCACCGAUUGACGUUACCCGCAGAAGAAGCACCGGCUAACUCCGUGCCAGCCGCCGCCGUAA